GGAAGGUGAGCGAGAGGUCUCGCAGGUAGUUUGCUAAACUGCCGGGCUCUUAACUGGGCUCGGGGUUCGAAUCCUCCGCCUUCCGC
rnacentral:tRNA from 3 species